GGUGGGAUGGCUGAGCGGUCUAAAGCGCACGCUUGGAGAGCGUGUGAACGAGUAAUCGUUCCCUGGGUUCAAAUCCCAGUCCCACCGCCA
rnacentral:tRNA from 1 species